GAUGAACGCUGGCGGCGUGCCUAAUACAUGCAAGUCGAGCGAACAGACGAGGAGCUUGCUCCUCUGACGUUAGCGGCGGACGGGUGAGUAACACGUGGAUAACCUACCUAUAAGACUGGGAUAACUUCGGGAAACCGGAGCUAAUACCGGAUAAUAUAUUGAACCGCAUGGUUCAAUAGUGAAAGACGGUUUUGCUGUCACUUAUAGAUGGAUCCGCGCCGCAUUAGCUAGUUGGUAAGGUAACGGCUUACCAAGGCAACGAUGCGUAGCCGACCUGAGAGGGGGAUCGGCCACCCUGGAACUGAGACACGGUCCAGACUCCUACGGGAGGCAGCAGUAGGGAAUCUUCCGCAAUGGGCGAAAGCCUGACGGAGCAACGCCGCGUGAGUGAUGAAGGUCUUCGGAUCGUAAAACUCUGUUAUUAGGGAAGAACAAAUGUGUAGUAACUAUGCACGUCUUGACGGUACCUAAUCAGAAAGCCACGGCUAACUACGUG
rnacentral:rRNA from 1 species